GUACCUUCCUCUCCUCCCUGUCCCCUUCCCCCAAACGCUCCAUCCAGAGGGAAAGGUGCAGGAGCACACUCUUAGCAAGCAUUCAAACUAUUUCAUGAGAAGACCACACUUGGUUCUAUUCUGGCCUCCCUCAUGGGGGCGGGGGCGGCACGGCACAUCUUCAAACGCCUGCUGGCUUAAAUGGUGACAGCUGCAUGCAGCGGGCUCGCGUACAGCCCGCCGGGUGCAGUGGGAGAUAACUGCAGGGUAGAACUUCAAAGACAGACCCACUGCACUCAUUCCAACAGCCUGGGGCUGCCGCCUUCAGCUGCUGACUCCCUGCCUCCCUGCAUGCACCAAAAAUCACUUAUUAAAAGUUGGCUCUAUGUUAAAAUGGAUGGUGGCCUUUGAUCUUCAACUGAGGAGCCGUUAUGGGAGAAACUGUCACACGGAAGAUUCAAGAGAUGACUUGAAAUCCUCGGUUUCUUGCAAUGGGUAGCACAGAUGGCUGUUUAAGGAACCACAUUAAAGAGCCACCAUGAAAGAGUUGCUAGCAAGCAGUAACAUCCCUUGAGUGUGAAUUCCACAAACUUCUGGUGACUUAAUGUGAAAUGCAAGCAGCAGGAAGAGAAAAAAAGCAGACCUGAAUGUCCUCAACCAGACUUUCCUCCUCACAGCCCAUGAAGAGGUCCCCUCCAACUUCUGUUUCAAAGACAAGGCCAGAGGCUGCCCAGCACUCAACCAGAAGCUUGAGCAGACGUUGGAGGAGCUCAGCCCAAGGAAGCAGAGAUUCACACGGCUUAAUCUUAUCACUCCUUGAGUUACAGAACUGAAACUAUCGCCUCCAAGGCAGUUUUCUGAAAACAUAUUUUUUCAAGUCAUUAGAAAUAUGCAUAAUAUUAUCAGUUACCAUUUAUAGCUUCUGUAUUUCUAGUAACUGGCAUUGUUGUUACUUCAGGCAAGCCAGAAAAUAAGCAUGCCAGGAACUGACAGGGUGUGUUAUGUCACCAAAACAAAAGAGCUCAUGCUGAUAAAUGUCAGGUUGGCUUCUUUGUGGGUUUCCCCUUUCCUUCGGCAAAGUUGCAGCUUUUGCCUUCUUUUCCACUCUCAGUAUGGGCUGAAGUGUUGAGCAACUCAAGAAGCUGGACUCUUUCCAAGAUAUCUGCCUUCUAAAGCUAUCAGGCACAUCAGAUGGCCACGACUUUACCAGAUACAAGGACUCCGGCCAUUUCCUUUGUCUUAGAGCCAGUAAUCUAGUAAUGUUUUUAAAUAACGGAUAUUCUUGGGUGUCUUGCUCAUCUGGCAUAUUCAUCGUGUAGAAAGGAAAAGACAGAAUCUUUUUUUGCCACUAAAGACCUGGGUGGUCAGGACUGCCUGAAGGAGGGGAGGACAGAGACUUUCUCAAGUAGCAAUGAACAAACAGAAAUAGAUGUCAGGAGGAAACGUGAAGGAGGAGGGCGGCUGGUGAUAAAACUCUGAAAGAGGAGGUUGCAGAAAGCCUCUCCCUUUAGUCCCUCCGCCUACUAAUCUCUCCCUCUUGAUCACUGUUUCUUUUACCUUUUGAUUUAAUGCCAUUGCAGACAAAAUAGGAAAAGGCAUUCUCUGCCAGGGCCAUUUACAUUGGCUUUCGUCUUCCCGAAACCUAAUAUACGUUACUGCUUUUGUAAAAGAGGAACUAAUAUUAUUCCUGGGUUUGCAUAAAUGUGUGUGUGUGUGUAAUUUGUUUAUACUGAUUUCUGCGCCAGGUAGAUGCCCACAUGCUGCCUGAACACAAACGAGUAUGCACAUAUAUUAGACAUAUACAACUACCUACGGUUGUAAAGACUGCUAGACAUUGACUCCAGGUUUCCCUCCCUCUCUUCCUGGACACUAUGGAGGAAAGCCACUGUCUGGCCAGGGUCAUUCACCUUGGACUCUUACUUGAGCAAGAGAUUAACUCCUGUUGUGUUUAAACCAUAAUACAAUUUUGGUUCUACUUAUGUAGCAGUUUAACCUAACUUGCAAAAGCCCACAGUCAUAUAUAUAAACACACACGACUUAGACCUACCACAUAGUACAUGACUCUAACCGUCAAUACACCACAAUGGUAACUUGCAUGGCUCCAAAAGUAUGAGAAUAAUUUGAAAGGAGGCUUAUGAUGGUGCAAAAGCAAUGUUUCCUUUGAUAGAAUUUAAGCAUGAUUAACAAGCCAAACACAUUUUUAGAAGUUACAUAUGAAUCAACUAGGCUUUCCUAAUUUUGAAAGCUCGCUGGAACACAGAUGAUUCCCGUUUGGGCCAGAAUUGCAUUAAUCUGCUUAGACUAAGCCAGUUUUGACAAUGGGAAUGAUAUUAAGCAGUCCUAAAUAUUUCUGAAAUGCAAUUCUGUGAGUGAGCAUGAACGUAAAUACGCAUACAAGCACAUCUAGCCACACGUUAACAAGAGAAAAAAAUACUGUGUUCUCUCUGUUAAAAAAAAAGUCUCAUUCUUUUAAUCUGUUUAUCCCUGUUAAAGGAGCCAAGUGAAGAUUAUUGAAAUUAAUGCUUCACAUGACCUCACAACACAACCUACACAAGUUAGGAGCAAUGAUGUUAACCGAGUGUCCACUUGAUUAUAAGAAAGCAUUUGGGGGAGACACCCAUUGCAUUUCCACGAGCCAGGCAAGCAGUCUGGCUUAAAUCUUGUAGGCUUAAAUCCUGGCAGCAAUAUUAUCAGAAAUAACUCUCACCUCUUUCAAUCAGAGAUCUGAGACUUUGAAGUAAUGCUCAGGUUUAUGAAAGCCAAGGAAAAUGGAGGCGGGGUCUUUGUCUGCUGGAACUGCAUGCGAAAUUCUAAAAAACCCACCGAUCGUCAUUCCCAGGAACAGAACUAGGAAGGGUGAAGAGAACUUUUGCCAAUGUUAGUUUUCUAGAACAUGCCUUGGGCAUAGUAGUGAGAAAAAAGAGAGGGAAAAAUCAACUGGUGAGCAUUACUGGCUGCCAGACAAGAUUCAAAUAAGCUGUUUAGCCUUUGGUUUCAGCAUUCCCAAACAUCAUAAAGAUUUCAGCUCUUGUAAAAGGGGAGCCAAUUGUUUACAAUAGACUAUUCUGGAGGGAGUGGGUGUGUCCCAAGAGGCAAAUAUUUGCCCAUAGGAGGUAAUAAAAUUGUAUUAAGCUCUUACCCCACUGCUGUACGUGGUCAUCAAUGUGAUUAGCUCACUCAAGUCUAUUUUAAGAUCCUGACAGGCACAAACAUUAACAAGAACCUGGCAUUUCUCCUUAAGAAUAUAUAAUCGACCUUUCAAGUCCGUAAUCUUGUUUAUCAAAGCGGAUGGCAGGGAUUUAUGCAGAAUAGUUUGCACACCUCUUUGAUUUCGGCCCCCUGAGAACCCAAACAGGCAUCCCACCCAAUCCUGUUUUAUUUUCGCCAUAUCCUGUGUUGUUGAAUGGGCCUCUUGUAAAAAUGCAAUGUAAGGCCCUCCCCUUGCAGUUUUUUUCUGAAGUUCUGAACAAGUCUUACAUCAGUUUUGUAAAAUGUGCAGUUCUCUUACAUUCCUCAGGCAGACUUUAAAGGUCACGGUCCUAAACAGUUAGGGAAGUCUGUUUGCAUAGACAGGGACCCACAUGGAUGAAAGGAAGAAAGCAAUUUAAUCGACAGUUAAGCUGUGUGGGCAAACACAGCAUUCCAGAAAAUGGUGGAUAGAAGUGGGUGGGAGUAUGUGGACCUGGAUUCUCUUAAUCAAUCACUUUUAACUUGUGUUACAAUUUUUAAACUAAACCUUCCAGCAAAAAAAAAAAAAAAAAAAAAUGCACUC